ACUCCUACGGGAGGCAGCAGUAGGGAAUCUUCCACAAUGGGCGCAAGCCUGAUGGAGCAACACCGCGUGAGUGAAGAAGGGUUUCGGCUCGUAAAGCUCUGUUGUUAAAGAAGAACACGUAUGAGAGUAACUGUUCAUACGUUGACGGUAUUUAACCAGAAAGUCACGGCUAACUACGUGCCAGCAGCCGCGGUAAUACGUAGGUGGCAAGCGUUAUCCGGAUUUAUUGGGCGUAAAGAGAGUGCAGGCGGUUUUCUAAGUCUGAUGUGAAAGCCUUCGGCUUAACCGGAGAAGUGCAUCGGAAACUGGAUAACUUGAGUGCAGAAGAGGUAGUGGAACUCCAUGUGUAGCGGUGGAAUGCGUAGAUAUAUGGAAGAACACCAGUGGCGAAGGCGGCUACCUGGUCUGCAACGUGACGCUGAGACUCGAAAGCAUGGGUAGCGAACAGGAUUAGAUACCCGUGGUAGGAUA
rnacentral:rRNA from 1 species